UCCCCUUUUUAUUUCUAGAUUUCUAGCCCUUAGAUCUACUCCUUGAUUACUAAUAGCCCUUGGAUCAAAUACUAUUCCACCUACCAGCACCUACCACCAUCAUCCCAACCUUACAUCUCUCCAUCCAAGGGUUAAAAACUCAAAAGCACCAAGAGAGUGGUGCUUUUGAGUUUUUAGCCAUUGGAUGGAGAGAUGUAAGGUUGUGAUGAUGGUGGUAGAUGGUGGUAGGUGGAAUAGUGUUUAAUCCAAGGGCUAUUAGUAAUCAAAGAGUAGAUCCAAGGGCUAGAAACCUAGAAGCACCAAAGGAUUUGUGCUUCUAAAAGUAUUCUAGCUCAAUUUACGACACAAAUUAUCACAAGGCCCAAAAUGCUUAAGCCCAGUUAUUAUUACUAGUAUCUAAAUCUCUUAUAUACCCAAUCAUAUCCCUAUUCCUAUCCGAUGUGGGAUUAUUGGGGUGUGACAGACUCCCCCCGUUAAGGCUCUGACGUCCUCGUCAGUCCAAUCACAAACACAGCCCAAGAUCACCAGGCGAUGUGAGACUCGUCUCGCUCGCCUUGUCAUCCAGACCCUGGCAUAGCCGGUUACCUUGUCAUAUAGACUCCGACAUAGCCUAUCAACUUGUCUUUCAGACCCUGGCUCAGUCGAGACUUGCCACACAUUUUCGUCUGGUGAGCUGUCUCUGAUACCACUUUAAUCUGUCACGCCCCAGGGUCCCUUUUUGAUUUAAAAGCAAUGCAGAAGCGCCCAAUUUUUUUAAAAAAAAAAAAUCUGACCCCUAAGGUAUGCAAGAUCCGUCACAAAUAUAGGGAGUCCACUGUUCACACGGAUAAAAUAUCCCCUGUAUUUGCACGGCGUCGCACAAGUACAAAAUACAUGAUGGGAUACAACCACUACAACUGAACAUACAAACAUUCAUACAUUCAUAUAUUCAUACACCAUUCACCACAAGUUUACAUUCAGAGUUUAAUCAUAAAUCCACAACUAUUAGUUUAAAAUGUUUCCUACCCGGAAACUCAUUUUGAAAUACUAAUUGAUGAAAACCACGUGAAAACCUUUUUCAAAACCCUUAUAUAUAU
rnacentral:lncRNA from 1 species